rnacentral:rRNA from 1 species
ACAGCAGUCGCCACGGUAAUACAGAGGAUGCAAGCGUUAUCCGGAAUGAUUGGGCGUAAAGCGUCUGUAGGUGGCUUUUCAAGUCAGUCAUCAAAUCCCUGGGCUCAACCCUGGACAAGCAGUGGAAACUACCAAGCUGGAGUACAGUAGGGGCAGAGUGAAUUUCCGGUGGAGCGGUGAAAUGCGUUGAGAUCAGAGAGAACACCAACGGCGAAAGCACUCUGCUGGGCCGACACUGACACUAAGAGGCGAAAGCUAGGGGAGCAAAUGGGAUUAGAUACCCCAGUAGUCCCUGUCUCUUAUAC